UACGUAGGGUGCGAGCGUUAAUCGGAAUUACUGGGCGUAAAGCGUGCGUAGGCGGUUCGUUAAGUGCGUCGUGAAAGCCCCGGGCUCAACCUGGGAAUGGCGAUGGAAACUGGCGGGCUGGAGUAUGGCAGAGGGGGGUGGAAUUCCGCGUGUAGCAGUGAAAUGCGUAGAGAUGUGGAGGAACACCGAUGGCGAAGGCAGCCCCCUGGGUCAAGAUUGACGCUCAUGCACGAAAGCGUGGGGAGCAAACAGG
rnacentral:rRNA from 1 species